rnacentral:rRNA from 1 species
CGAGAAAGCCCGCAAGGGUGAGUACAGCGGCGCACGGGUGCGUAACACGUGGGUAAUCUGCCCUGGAGCCCGGAAUAACUCCCCGAAAGGGGUGCUAACGCCGGAUGAGCCCACGGGGUCCUUGGACCCUGAGGGAAAAGGUGGCCUCUGUAUACAAGCUAUCACUUCAGGAUGAGCCCGCGGCCCAUCAGCUCGUUGGCGGGGUAAUGGCCCACCAAGGCUACGACGGGUAGCUGGUCUGAGAGGACGAUCAGCCACACUGGAACUGAGACACGGUCCAGACUCCUACGGGAGGCAGCAGUGGGGAAUCUUGCGCAAUGGGUGAAAGCCUGACGCAGCAACGCCGCGUGUGUGAUGAAGGUCUUCGGAUCGUAAAGCACUGUCGCGAGGGACG